UCGAUGUCCCAGAGCUCGCCGAAGCCACUAACCGCCGCCUUGACAUCCUUUUCAUUCCAACAGAGAAUCGGCCAAUGGUGCAAUUGGAUCCAAGCUUUAUGAAAGAGCUGACCCCUUCCCAAUUCUCCCGAUUCGUGUCAAUUGUGGAAGGAGAACUCUAUCCCGUCGAACCAAAAGGGACUGCGGCCGAUGUGCUGACUCACG
rnacentral:lncRNA from 1 species